rnacentral:rRNA from 1 species
AGCGAACGCUGGCGGCAUGCUUAACACAUGCAAGUCGCGCGGGUGGUUUCGGCCAUCGGCGGCGGACGGGUGAGUAUCGCGUGGGAAUGUAUCCCGAGGUGGGGGACAACCCUGGGAAACUGGGGCUAAUACCGCAUGGGGCCUGUGGGUCAAAGCCUUAGGACGCCUUGGGAGCAGCCUGCGUCCGAUUAGGUAGUUGGUGGGGUAAAGGCCUACCAAGCCUGCGAUCGGUAGCUGGUCUGAGAGGACGAGCAGCCACACUGGGACUGAGACACGGCCCAGACUCCUACGCGAGGCAGCAGUGGGGAAUAUUGGACAAUGGGCGCAAGCCUGAUCCAGUAAUGCCGGGUGGGUGAAGAUGGUCGUCGGAUUGUAAAGCCCAUUCGGCGGGGAAGAUGAUGACGGUACCCGAAGAAGAAGCCCCGGCUAACUUCGUG